GUUGCAAAGAGAACAAGGGUUAUAGUCUAAUGUCCAAUAUCACCUUCAGAGAGUACCAGCAUAACUGCGACCUCAAUCUUGUGACUUAAACUUCCCCGAUGAAGUUUAAGCAGAUCUGAGAUAACAGAAUCUGGACCCAACCAUCUUUUAUUCAGUGUUCUAGCAUCAGCUUGACCACACAGUCCUGGGUAAACAAUAAGCUUUUGAUGUAACCUGCUGCUUCCUAAACACCACCAGUAAUUGGUUACACAAAUUAACAUAGGGCAAUUUAUCCAUUAGGCAGUCUAUCACAGACUUCAGAGACAUUGACAUUAUUUCACCCAAGAUUCAUCUAAAUGUUAAUAUUCCCUUUUGAUUGCUGACUUAGUAGCUAUAAUGGCAGACAGGAACUGUCCAUUUACACAGGUAGCAUCUAAGAUGCACACAAUUAAUAAUACCUCUAAUUUCUAACAACAUAGGCUAGAACUUUAAAAUGCAAACCUAUUUAGCAUGCAAUGGCCCUAAUUAACAUUUCUAACAUGUCUUUAAAGGUCUGCUUUGGGUUAGUUAGCCUGCAAGCUGUUUAAUUCUUUCUGGCCAUGAGUUAUAUUUUGUGUAAGAUUUGUCACAAUUAUAUAACAGUGGAAGCAAUAAUUAUUUGCAUGGUUAUAUUUUAAUCAGACAACAUCAGUCAUCCUAAAUUUUCAAAAGUUAUUAGAAGACGAAUUGGUAAAAACAACCCAAAUGUGCACAAUUUUACUCUACAGUUGUAUUUAUUUUGGGGGAGGGGGGAGUGUUUUGUUUCAGAGAAGUCUUAAAUGGAUUAAGAAUUUUUUAU